UACGUAGGGUGCGAGCGUUAAUCGGAAUUACUGGGCGUAAAGCGUACGCAGGCGGCUUUGCAAGACAGGUGUGAAAUCCCCGGGCCUAACCUGGGAACUGCAUUUGUGACUGCAUAGCUAGAGUUUGUCAGAGGGGGGUGGAAUUCCACGUGUAGCAGUGAAAUGCGUAGAUAUGUGGAGGAACACCGAUGGCGAGGGCAGCCCCCUGGGAUGUGACUGACGCUCAUGUACGAAAGCGUGGGGAGCAAACAGG
rnacentral:rRNA from 1 species